GAAAUGCGAUACGUAAUGUGAAUUGCAGAAUUCAGUGAAUCAUCGAAUCUUUGAACGCACAUUGCGCCCCCGGGUAUUCCCGGGGGCAUGCCUGUUCGAGCGUCAUUUCAACCCUCAAGCCCAGCUUGGUCUUGGGCCGCGCCGGGAACGGCCGGCCUUAAAGCUCGUGGCGGCGCCGCCGGGCUCUACGCGUAGUACUGACAUCUCGCGUGUGGGCUCCGGCGGACGCUGGCCAGCAACCCCCAACUCAUACUGGUUGACCUCGGAUCAGGUAGGGAUACCCGCUGAACUUAA
rnacentral:misc_RNA from 1 species